rnacentral:rRNA from 1 species
UACGUAGGGGGCAAGCGUUGUCCGGAUUUAUUGGGCGUAAAGAGCGUGUAGGCGGCUUUACAGGUCCGUUGUGAAAACUCGAGGCUCAACCUCGAGACGCCGGUGGAAACCGUAAGGCUAGAGUCCGGAAGAGGAGAGUGGAAUUCCUGGUGUAGCGGUGAAAUGCGCGGAUAUCAGGAGGAACACCCGUGGCGAAAGCGGCUCUCUGGGACGGUACUGACGCUGAGACGCGAAAGCGUGGGGAGCAAACAGG